rnacentral:sRNA from 1 species
UCAGGCGGUGCCUUACUCAACGUGUCGCCCGGGUUCUGAAAUAGCAGCGCUAUGAUCAGCAGUUGGACGGCAGGCACCUUUAAGUGCGUCAUUCGAAGUUUAUGUAGCGCUCGCAAUGGGGCUGACAUAAGAAGGUGAAUGAGCCACU